GCUUAUGCAGGCUGCGAUUUCCAGGGAAACCACUGAGCGUCACCCACGGAUAUUCUCCGCAGUUAUUUAGGGACUGGCAAAGCAGGAUCACUGUCUUGGUUGUGAGUUUUCCCACGUGUAGGGAACUUUCGCCAGAUUUGGAAUUUGUAAAGACAACUUCUGAAACUACAGUAUUUUUAUGUCAUUUCACCGUUCACAAAAUAGUUUACAGUUUUCACUAGUAGAUAAGCAAAUUGUUUACGAAUUAUUAUACUUUUUGACCCCUCAGCUUUAUAAAAAAAUCAAAGCCAAGACUUUGUUUACUCAAGAGAGUUGACAGAGGAAAUAGGAUUUUUUCUUCUAAUUUCAACCUUAACAAAACGAUCAAUUACAGUUUUCACAAAUCCUCCCUAAAUGUCCGUAUGUUUAAAGGAUCAUGGAGAUUACAGAAGGAAUUAUGUCUUAAUCAAAGAGGAGAGACGAAUGGCAGAGGAAAUGCAGGGCAGAAUAAAUCAGUUCUCUUCUAGAAUCUACCCCAUUUCCUGGUUCUAGGCUAAACAACUCCUAUGCAACAAGGAUAAAUGAAUGACCACGAAGAAUUACACAGUACUCAAG
rnacentral:lncRNA from 1 species